UACGUAGGGGGCUAGCGUUGUCCGGAAUCAUUGGGCGUAAAGCGCGUGUAGGCGGCCCGGUAAGUCCGCUGUGAAAGUCGGGGGCUCAACCCUCGGAUGCCGGUGGAUACUGUCGGGCUUGAGUGCGGAGGAGGCGAGUGGAAUUCCUGGUGGUAGCGGUGAAAAUUGCGCAGAGUAUCAGGAGGAACACCAAUUGCGAAGGCAGCUCGCUGGGACGUUACUGACGCUGAGGAGCGAAAGCGUGGGGAGCGAACAGG
rnacentral:rRNA from 1 species